UACGUAGGGGGCAAGCGGUUGUCCGGAUUUAUUGGGCGUAAAGAGCGUGUAGGCGGCCUGACAGGUCUGCUGUGAAACUCGAGGCUCAACCUCGAGAUGUCGGCGGAAACCGUCUGGCUAGAGUCCGGAAGAGGAGAGUGGAAUUCCUGGUGUAGCGGUGAAAUGCGGCAGAUAUCAGGAAGAACACCUAUGGCGAAGGCAGCUCUCGUGGGACGGUACUGACGCUGAGACGCGA
rnacentral:rRNA from 1 species